rnacentral:rRNA from 1 species
AGCAGCCGCGGUAAUUCCAGCUCCAAUAGCGUAUAUUAAAGUUGUUGCAGUUAAAAAGCUCGUAGUUGAAUUUCGGGAUCAAAUUGUCGGUCGUGCCUCGGUACGCACUGGUAUUAUUGGUUCCUACCUUCUGAAGAACCGCGAUGUCAUUAAUUUGGUGUCGUGGGGGAAUCAGGACUGUUACUUUGAAAAAAUUAGAGUGUUUAAAGCAGGCUUACGCUUGAAUACAUUAGCAUGGAAUAAUGAAAUAGGACGUUUGAUUCUAUUUUGUUGGUUUCUAGGAUUGACGUAAUGAUUAAUAGGGAUAGUUGGGGGGCAUUAGUAUUCAAUUGUCAGAGGUGAAAUUCUUGGAUUUAUUGAAGACUAACUACUGCGAAAGCAUUUGCCAAGGAUGUUUUCAUUAAUCAAGAACGAAAGUUAGGGGAUCGAAGACGAUCAGAUACCGUCGUAGUCUUAACCAUAAACUAUGCCGACUAGGGAUCGGAUGAUGUUAAUUUUUUAAUGACUCAUUCGGCGCCUU